AUUGAACGCUGGCGGCAGGCCUAACACAUGCAAGUCGAGCGGAUGAAGGGAGCUUGCUCCUGGAUUCAGCGGCGGACGGGUGAGUAAUGCCUAGGAAUCUGCCUGGUAGUGGGGGAUAACGUCCGGAAACGGGCGCUAAUACCGCAUACGUCCUGAGGGAGAAAGUGGGGGAUCUUCGGACCUCACGCUAUCAGAUGAGCCUAGGUCGGAUUAGCUAGUUGGUGGGGUAAAGGCCUACCAAGGCGACGAUCCGUAACUGGUCUGAGAGGGUGGUCAGUCAGUUUGGAAAUGAAACACGUCCCAGUCACCAACGGGGGGGCGAGGGGGGGAAUUUUGGAAAUUGGGGGAAAACUUCUUCCCACCCGGCCGAGGGUGAGAAAGAAGUUUUCGGAUUAUAAAGGAAUUUAGGUGGGGAUGAGGGAGAGUAAUGUUAUACCUUGUUGUUUUAACUUUACCAACAGAAUAAACCCCGGGAUAAUUCGG
rnacentral:rRNA from 1 species